AUCAUCCAUCCUUCACACAAACAUCAAAGCAAACUAGUAACCAGCCACCAUGAAGAGCUUGUUCUUCCUGGCACUCCUCGCCCUCGCGGUGACGAGCGCUGUUGCACGGACGGACACGACCUGCAGCCAGAGCUACGGGGAGCAAAGCCAGCAACAGCAGCAGCUGCUGAUCAAUCUGGGCAGGGCGUACCUGCAGCAGUGCACCCCAAGGACAGUACCAUUCACAUAUGCGACAGGGGAGCAGGCGAGCAGCUGCCAGGUGAUGAGGCAGCAGUUUUGCCAGCAGCUGGCCCAGAUACCGGAGCAGUUCCGGUGCCAGGCUGUCAACGGCGUGGCACAGGCCAUCAUGCAGCAGCAGCAGCAGCAACAGCAACAAUCACAGGGUUCCUACCAGCGAGAGGAGCAAGCUCAUUUUCACAUCAUGAUGGCGGCGCUGCACACACUGCCGCAGAUGUGCGCCGUGUACGUCCCGCCAUACUGCAUCAUCUCCACCACCAGCCCCUGCAGAAUCGCUAAGGCUGCUACCAGUGCUGGAGGUGCCUUCUACUGAAAAGAAACGAUCUGGAUGUGCUAGCUAGAUGUAUCACCGUUAAGGCGUUAAGUCGAUUGAUUAUUAGCGGUGUCAAAAUAAAAGUGCCAUACAUCAUCUUGUGUGGCCACUGGCUAGUACUAGAUGCAACUAGGAAAUAAGGAACAUCUGUUCCUGAAUAAAGCUUUUGUUUGAAUAACAUUGCAUGUGUUGCAUGAUAGAUAAAUCUCAGAAGGAUCUUACUUGAACCAUUAAUGUACAUAUUGAUAUUCCUUCCAUUUAAACGAAGAAAAAAAUACAAGAUAAAGGAACAAACACACAUGAAAGAGAGCGUUACCGGGUUUGAAACCUGUUUUGGCAUAUCCAGAAUGUGAUCAUUCGUUCGGCACAGAGAAUGAACCUCAACCAAGUUGCUAAAUCAAAAGCCGAUUAAUUGUCAAUGAGCCAUAGCCCUUGAGCUGUGUUUCAUGCCAAGUCAAGAAACCAUAGGUUUGGUGAUGGAGAUAAUAUAGAUUAACAUUCUGGUAUACAACACAUUUGGUGCCAAGUCGAGAAACCAGAAAACUGAACAAGUAUACUGACAACAUUGAGUUGCUGCUUCUCGGAAGCUCAGAAUAAGAGACAUGAAUGCUAUGAGUACGGCGUUUCUAUAGAGAAUCUACACUUGAUAGAAGCAUUGUUGAAGUUUCAUAGAAAUCUUUUUCUAGUGAACUAUACACCAUAACCGCCUUUCUCAAACUAAUAAUAUGGCAAGUGCUUCCAGAAGAGCAUUGGAUUUUGGGUUUGGCUGAAUUUUGUUGCAGAUUCAUUAUUAUCUAGGUAGCACUUAAACCAGAACUGAACGUACGGUAGAUGAAAACCACCCUGUCCGAGUUUCAACGCCUUAUAUCCAUAUAUUUAAUUCUAUAACAAGGCACAAUCAAUCAUAUAAAUGUAAGUGCAUGUAAUGCAAAAAUCUCAGGUGAACACAAUGAGAUCAGAUGCAAAAAACGAGAGUACUGUUCAAUAUAUCUACUCUUUCCACGAACAAAAUUGACCAUACAAAUGAGACAGGAACACAGAGAGACAUGGAGUAUAAGGCAACUGGUUAAGGUCCAUGGGUAUUACAUCGGCGAAGAGGAGGAAGACUAAGCGGCAGUGGUGGUCAUGUCGAGCAUCAGCGAUUACGCUUCCACGUGCUCCACCGCUUCUUCCAUCUCUCUAAUAAGCUGAACAACAAGUACAACAAUACAGGUGAAGUUCUCUUUACCUCAAUUCUUCAUUCAGGUUUUAACGCUAGGCCCGGCCCAUCCCAUCCCAUCCUAGUGAAUAACAUAAUUUGGAGUUUUGGACAAGGACCUAGCAGCAAAUAGCGACCUCAAGGUCUUAGCUCAUGCUGAGUGCAUACAUCAUAAAUCUUCUUUUACAGAAGACAACAAAUUCAGUUCAGUAUACUUCAGUUUCACAACACCAGAGUAUAGCUCCAAUGUAAUCCUUGACAUGUAAAGGGAACUUAAUUAGUCAUGCCGUGCUCUCAUCUUAUGCAAAUCUGUUCCAGGAAACAGUUAAUUGGAGUGUACAACAACCCUUGACAUGUAAAGGUUGCUAUAUGAUCUAAUCUCAUCAGCUCAAACAAGAUUAUAAACUAUAUCUUCUAGAAAAGCAUGUUGCGUGUGAAGGCAAAAUCUGAUUUAUAUCUAACAACUUACACAACAUUACAAAAUGGGUUUCACGAAAGAAUGCAAUCAAGAUCUAUGCUUGACAUGUAAAGUAAUGUGGAUGAGUCACAUCGGUUUUCGAUCUUAGCUCACAGCCACAUAUGUGUUCUGAAAAGUAUAUUUGAUGAUCAUCCAAAGAUUGGACUUGCAGUGCCACCUAACACAACAAUACCAAAUGAUCAGUUUGGAAAGCAUCCAAACGCUUUAGAAAAGUAACCUAGGAAAGAAAUGUAGGAAUCAUGCCAUGGCAGCUAUAAAUAGCCAUGUACCAUGUAGAUCCUCCUCCAUCAUCCAUCCUUCACAUAAACAUAAACAUCAAAGCAAACUAGUAGCCAGCCACCAUGAAGAUGUUCUUCCUGGCAUUCCUCGCCCUCGCGGUGACGAGCGCUGUUGCAUGGACGGACACGACCUGCAGCCAGAGCUACGGGGAGCAAAGCCAGCAAAAGCAGCAGCAGCAGCUGCUGAUCAACCUGGGCAGGGCGUACCUGCAGCAGUGCACCCCAAGGACAGUACCAUUCACAU
rnacentral:lncRNA from 1 species